CUUAAAUAACACUGAGAUAAGUGC
rnacentral:siRNA from 1 species